rnacentral:rRNA from 1 species
UACAGAGGUCUCGAGCGUUAGGCGGAAUCACUGGGCUUAAAGCGUGUGUAGGCGGAUCGUUAAGUGCCUUGUGAAAUCCCACGGCUCAACCGUGGAACUGCUUGGCAUACUGGCGGUCUUGAGCAACCUAGGGGCGAGCGGAACAAAUGGUGGAGCGGUGAAAUGCGCAGAUAUCAGGAGGAACACCGGUGGCGAAGGCGGGUCUCUGGGCCGAUACUGACGCUGAGGAGCGAAAGCGUGGGGAGCGAACAGG